rnacentral:lncRNA from 1 species
AUGGAUGUGCAGCAUUCAGAAGAGCAUGAAUGCUAGAAGUGUGAGGCAGAACCAUAUAUGUUGUUAGGAUCAAGGAGGAGGUGAGAGUAAGGCUAUGCCAUUGUUGUACUUUCCGCAAGAUUAAGGUGGAGGUGAGGGUAAUUUAAUUAGUAUAUCUUUAAGUUGUUCUGUUUUCGCAUCUUUGAUGAAGCUUUUAUUUUUUCUAUUUUUGAUGAUCCUACUAGUGCCUCACCAACUAGGGAGUCAAACUUUUAAUAUUUUUGAUGAUCCAAAACUUAUAGAGAUGAAAAGAAAAGCAAAUACACAAGUCUGAAGGAAAUGGCUACACUUUUAAGGUAUAAUACAUAGUUAUUUAUAGCUAGAUGACUGCUUUCAUUUUUUAUUCCAAUUCACACCACAAUGCAUCAUUUCAAGUGCAUGUGUUCUAGAAAUCUAAAAACAGAUAAGGUUGAAUCCAAAUAUUAAAAGGGAAGAGCGUGUAAUACAAUUGAUAUUCUUUGGCUUCUAGUUCUAAUUCAUAUUCUUUGGCUUCUUUUGCUUCUAGUUCUAAUUUUGCAGGUUAAUUUUGGAUGGAAUGAAACAAAAGCUGAAAAGUGGGUUAUGUUGUUUUUGUAGGUAAAACACUUUUGAAGUUCAAGCAAGGAAUUAUGAGUGACCCUUUUUGAUGCUUUGUCAAAUUGGGUUGAUGAUGUAAUUGGUUUGGAGUUGAAUGUUCAUAAGGAAGAAUUUGGUUAUUGGUAAAAAAGCUAUGUUAUUCACUAUUUCUCUUUUUCUAUGUCAUCCAUGCUAGUCUUAUAUUGAGGCAUGUUCAGUUCUUCAAACUUUUUAAUAUAUAUAUACUCUUUAAAUUGAUUAUGAUUUUCCAAAUAAUCCUUGAGUCUCCUAAAUUGAUUAUGAUUUGUGAAAUUGUGAUUUGAAUUUUGUCUCGACCAUUUUGCAGGUUCUUGAUUUUUGCAGGUUGUUGAUCUGCAGGAAGUAAUACAAUGGAGACAUUAAGAAAAGGAAAACAAGUACAUGUGUGUCACUGUUCAAGUCUCUUAAUUAUGACCAAAUAGGUUCUUUCAUUUUGUGCUUAUAAGUAAAAGUGAAUGAUACUUCUACAUUUGUGUUUUUUUUUGUUGACAUAAACACAUUUGUGUAUUGUUAAGAACAUGUUAUAUAUGUACAUCAUAUACAGUAUAUGAUUAUUGUUUGAUAU